rnacentral:rRNA from 1 species
UACGUAGGGACCGAGCGUUGUCCGGAUUCAUUGGGCGUAAAGAGCUCGUAGGCGUCUGCUCAAGUCGAAUGUGAAAACUCGAGGCUCAACCUCGAGCCUGCAUUCGAUACUGGGCGGCUAGAGUCUGGUAGGGGGAUCUGGAAUUCCUGGUGUAGCGGUGGAAUGCGCAGAUAUCAGGAGGAACACCGGUGGCGAAGGCGGGAUCCUGGGCCAGUACUGACGCUGCUGCGCGAAAGCCAGGGGAGCGAACGGG